rnacentral:rRNA from 1 species
UGACAGUACUCCUACGGGGAGGCAGCAGUGGGGGAAUAUUGCACAAUGGGCGCAAGCCUGAUGCAGCCAUGCCGCGUGUAUGAAGAAGGCCUUCGGGUUGUAAAGUACUUUCAGCAGUGAGGAAGGUGGAUAUGUUAAUAGCAUAUUCAUUUGACGUUAGCUGCAGAAGAAAGCACCGGCUAACUCCGUGCCAGCAGCCGCGGUAAUACGGAGGGUGCGAGCGUUAAUCGGAAUUACUGGGCGUAAAGCGCAUGCAGGUGGUUUGUUAAGUCAGAUGUGAAAGCCCGGGGCUCAACCUCGGAAUUGCAUUUGAAACUGGCAAACUAGAGUACUGUAGAGGGGGGUAGGAAUUUCAGGUGUAGCGGUGAAAUGCGUAGAGAUCUGAAGGAAUACCGGUGGCGAAGGCGGCCCCCUGGACAGAUACUGACACUCAGAUGCGAAAGCGUGGGGAGCAAACAGGAUUAGAUACCCUGGUAG